UUAGAGCGACUAUUUGGAACUCAACCGAAGAACAAGCAGGGCUGGGUGUGAGCAUGCUCAGUAGAAGUCACCAACGGUUAGUCUCGUGCUCAAGACCACAGUGGUGCCUGUCGGACUGUGCUGACGCAUUUGCUGAAAAGUUAAUGAUUUCAUCGCUUGUCGAAUAAUAAGAAGUGCUUGUGACAACUGCCUUGAGGGCUCUUCACAGCUGCUUUGUCAGUGCGGGCUGGAGUACACUGGAGAUGCAGUGGACCUGUAAGCAGUGUAUUUUUUCUACAGACAAAAGAGGACAGUUGUUGAAACACUAUCGCCUAAAACAUGGAGGCUUUACUCGGCAACAACCAAUACCAUGUCUUCAUCACGAUUGCUUAUGCA